AAAAAAGAUGGUUCCCUGGCUAUUCUCCUGAGUGGAGCUGCCUGCGUAGCACCUGAGCCCCAUCUGCUGUCAAUUACAGGAGGACUAUUUAAGCCAGUGCUGCCUGCUACUCAUUGCCAGUUCAUUCUUCCACCUACUGUGGUAACUAGGUCUCAUCUACGCUCCACUCUUCCAUCGCCCUUUAGUCGUGUUUAACUGUACAGGUCUCCACACAGUUCCACCUUGGACUCACCACCUGUUGUAUGCUCUCCAGCGCUGGCUUCCUUGUUCCACUCAGUAAUCAGCUCACUAGGGAAAUCAUCAACCUGUCGCUCUGCCUGCCUGUCCUCCUGCCAGCCAAGACGCUCUUGGCAACUCAAACAACCGUUUCUCCCCUCACACUUUCUCUCUGGAUUCUCCUACAGAAACCCUCCCUGAAGCUUUUCAGUCUGGUCCUGCAUGUAAGCCAACAGCACCUACUCACCUGCUCCUUUACCUGCCAGUAAUCGCUUCUCCCCUUGUUGCAAAGCUCCCAUGGUUCCGAUCACGACUUCUAUGGACAGCCUCCCCCCUCCUCUCCCCCUUUAGAUCCCAGCGUGCUGCUCAAAUAGCAGAGAUAUGAUCUGAUAAUAAUCUCCAGCUGCACUGGCCAGCCUCCCCUGGCACUGCCUCUGAACCCGCUGCACCACCAUGAACAAGACCCCAAGACAGUUUAUGCUGGGCUGAGUACCACUAACAUUGGAGCUGGAAGUCAACAAAAACAACAUCAUCAUCUGCAAUCAGAAGAGAUGAAAUCCUGAGACCACCAAAGUGGAAGCCUUCUACCAUUUGACUGGAACUAGAAAUACUGUUCAAAAUUCUGAAAAAAAUCAGUGACAAGGGCAGCCAAGAUGAAGUCCAACAUCCUACAGAGCCCAGAAGAUCCCCAGAGGGAUGUAUUCAAAUGCCUUGUUGUAUCGACUUGAGUUUAGCUGAAGUCCACAUGAACUUUGGGGGUCUGUAGCAACUGUCUCAUCAAGAUCCAAUGAUCCCAUUGUGUGAUUUUACAUGGUCUAUCACAUUGUGAGUUCCUUUCAUUUCCAACUGUUUCUGCUGUGUUUCGAUACCAUUAACAGCGACAAAAUGUCACGACUGGACCUUUUGCACAUCCUAUCAAGGUACUAUGCUGGAAUUCAGCUCCCAAGAGCGACUCAUUCUUUCACAAAUGUUUCUAGAAGCAGUCUGCACGCCUAGGUGCUUGAUUUUAUACACCUGCGGCCAUGGAAAUAUAUAUGUGUGUGUGUGUGUGUGUGUGUGUGUGUGUGUGUGGAAAGACAGGUAGGUAGAUACAUAGAUAGCUGUUUUCAAAAAUAAAUAUACAUCUUCAUAAAUUCAUUUAUGUGUGCUCAUAUUUAAAUUAAUUCUAAUUAUUUCAAUAUAAACGUAUUAAAAUCUCUUAAAAAUAUAUAACUUUAAGGAUAGUAUGAUAAUCAGAAAUAUGGUUUACUGCCUGUCGGUAAUAGAGGGUUAAGCUGUGAAAUGAGCUCAUUGGUUU